rnacentral:lncRNA from 1 species
UAGGACUCGUUUGCAGCGCAGGAUCACCACAUUUCUCAUGGGGAGCCGGUGCAGGUGCAGAAGGAACUUGUAGCACUCCUUGCUGGUGUACACGGACCACUGCUCUCCACCCGACGGCAGCACCAGGCACAAAUGCACGUGAAACUCCUGCAAGUCAUAAUCUAAGUCUCAACACAUGUUGAAGGACUGGAAUCCUUGAUAAGAAAUAAGAAGGCUUUUCUUUGGUAUCGGGAAUCGAACUCAAGACCUUGCACCUUCAAGAAAGGCAGGCUCUUACAAACAUGGUGCUGUGUCCUCACCCACUUCAUUCAUCAGAUCCAGCCUGCUGCAACUUCUGGCUCCUCCCCAAAGUCGAAGCAUCUUGAAAGGUCAACGUUUUGAAUCGGUUCAGGACUUCAACGGAGCCAGUACAGGGAAACUAAUGACACUCAGGAAAGAGGACUCCAGAACUGCUUCCGGAAGUGGUGAGGACAAUGGCAUAAGUAUGUUUGAUCAAGGGGACUAUUUUGGGGGGGGAAUUCAUGGUCACAUGUCUUUAACUGUAACACAUUUUAAAAAAUUUAAACAUUCACUGUAGUUUUUUUUUUUUAGCACACUUUGUAUAUGGAUACACACAAAAAAGCAAAUAUUGUAAAAUGUUAACAAUAAUAGUUUAAAUUACAAUUGUCAAAUUUAAGGAGGAGGAAUAUAAUGUGCUCAUCUUUGAGUGUUUCCGUAUGUUUUGUAUGUAGUGUUCAUCAGAAUGAAUUGGAGGAAAAAAACCAACUCUAAACCAUUAGUGUUUAACUGUGCAGGCCUUGUAUGCUUGGAGUUUAAGGGUUGUAUCAAGACAGAAUGAAGGGUAAUGUUAUUUUGCCAAUUUCCUCCAAGCCUUGGUCAGCUUAUUUCCUAUUCCCUGGAGUCUGGAGACAAGGCAAGGACCAGCAGCCGCCUUACUCAGCACUAGGGUGCCUCGAUGUCAGGAGGACUUCUACCUGGGGACCUCCCCUUCCCUUCUUCCUCCUUAGGAACCCCGUGCUUUCCUCCCUGCCUUCUGGUGCUAAGCAGUUCAACUCCAUCGGUUUGAAACAGGAAGAAGAG